AUACUUGUAUUCAUUUUUAUUAGAGACUUUGCUAUGAAACACUAGAGAUUAUUCCAUUUUUCACAGUUUUGUAAUAAGUUUCAUUUUCAUUUGAUUACUUAAAACUCCAAUAACAACAUGUGACUGUUAAAACAACGAAAGUGCAAAGCAACAGUUUUAAAAGAAUACUCAUGGUAGUGUAUAAGUGUAGUAGCUAAAAGUCAUUCAAAAAAUGAAUUAUUAAACAGAGUGAACUACAAACAUUAUCUAUUGUAAUACAUGUGGUUGAAACAUCAAGGUCCUUUGUUUACUCAUUUGUAUUUCCUACAGCCAGAUAAGGUGUGUGUGUGGGGGGGGGGGGGGAGG